GGAAGCGCUCGGGUUUGUCGAACCUCUCUUGCUUCUCUGGCAAAAUGGCUUUAUUUGAUUGCAAAUCUAUCGAAAACCUAACCAUUAUUGAAAUCAAAUGUGAGCUAAAGAAACGUGGACUACCUCUGAAUGGAUGUAAGGCAACUUUGCUUGAUCGUCUGCGAGAAAGCCUUACACAGGAUAAUUUGGUACCCGGGGACUGCAAGACUGAGCUGACCGACACGACACCGGAACCUAAUCAGUCAGUAUCCAAGGACAAUUCGUGAAGCUAGGAAAGCCACCUUCAACAAUGGGAUCCACCCCAGUCCCAACAAAGAAUCAAUUUACACCACUGUCUACAGAUGAGCUGGCUGUCAAUCAUGCCAUCGAAUUUUCCGCCGAUGAUAGCGUAACAGAAGCGGAGAAACUGAUCGACCGUUGUUACAAUGCUUUGAUACCUUCAGCAAGUGGUGAUGAUGCUAGUCCAACUACUAAACCAGUCCACUCACCAACUCUUCAACGAAUAUCGGCAGUCAUGUUUCCUUCCAGCAACAACUACGUCACUAUAAGGAGAAACACACCAAUCGGCCAGGCAGUCCGCCAAAUUGUACAGCCGAUCUGACGUGACGGUACCAGCUCUGUACUCCGGAGCCCUUUGUAAUCUGACUGGUCAGAAGCAGGGUAACCCGAGUGGUAAGAACCAGGGUUUUCUGAGUCCACUUUGGAAAAGCUGGAAACGCCGUUGUCUUUGCCAACCACCAGAGAGUCAAACGAGAUGGCUCGACGCGAAUCGCCGUCCUCCCCUUCCACUUCAAGAGGCAGAGGGUCGACGGCAUCUGCAGUAGUUGUCCAGUCGGAGCAGCAGUCACUUUCUUGAUAUGAAGCCAAGGAUCUUAUUAACGGUACUAUUCACCCAUACUAACUAACGGUAUAAAAUAUGCCCGUUUAAACCUCCAUAGCCUUGUACUAAAGAUUGACUGCUCACGAUUUCUGCUUAAAAAUACUCUGUUUGAUGUGAUCUCCCUUAAUGAAACUAUGUGCGAUGAUUAAAUAUCUGACUCAGAGGUACUCGUUGAUGGUUUUACAAUGUAUAGAAGGGACAGAAGCCGGCAUGGCGGCGGAGUGGCUGUGUACGUUUCUAACAGACUUACUGUAAAACGAAGGUAUGAUUUGGAAUCUAAAUCCUUGGAAAAUGUAUGGCUUGGACUGCGCUAUCCGCAUAGAUCAUCUAGUCUCAUCGGUUGCUUCUAUAGUCCCCCAGUGCAACCUGUGAAUUCUUUGAUGGAUUUGAAAAGAAUACUGAUUUAGUAUCCGCUGAAAAUAGCAUCUGGAAUCUGCUUGGUGACUUCAAUUCUGGUUUUAUUCACUCCGAUCACUGAUAACCAAUGCUGUGAGUUACAAUCUCUUACUUCAUCUAGUAGGUUCACUCAAUUGAUUAACUCUCCCACCAGGGUGACAAACCACAGUAAAAUGAUUAUUGAUCUCAUCUUUGUAGCUAAAUCAGAUUUUUUUUAUGAUUUCGCGGUUUUUAGUUACAAGUAUAAGUGAUCAUUUUUUAAUUUAUGCACUAAGAAGUUUGAACUCGAACUUUAAAUCUUUUUAUAACCAAAAUAACUGUGUUACUUAUCGUUCUUUUAACCACCUAGAUGAGGAGGCAUUUAAAAACGACUUAAGGGGUAUGCCUUGGGAUGAUCUUAUUGACACAGUUGGUGUUGAUACUGCCCUAGACAUAUGGGUUAAUAUGUUUAUGGAUGCAGUCGAUCAACAUGUACGUGUUCGCACCAAGAAAAUUCGCAAAAAAGCUUGUCCGUGGAUUACUGACGAUGUUGUUCAAGUGAUGAGGAAAACGUGAUCAUAUUUACAAGGUUGUAAUCGAGAAAGACGAUUCUCAAGCAUGGCUUGAAUGUAAGGCGCUUCGAAACAGGGUUAACCGUAUGCUUACAAAAUGUCAGGCUGAUUAUUAUCAUGGGUUCAUUCGCAGGGGUACAUAAGAAAGUAUGACCUCUGAAAAUACCUGAAUGAAAUUAAUCCAAGUUCUGGUAAUUUUUUGCCCAAUACUGUUAAGGUCAAUGAUAAGGAUUGUAUUUCAUCGACAGCCAUAGCCAAUGCCUUUAACACUGAGAGUCCUCACCCUUCACCUGUUGAAGGACUGAGGACUGUUAGGGUUAAUCAACAUUUUAUCUCCUCUGCUGUUGAGAUUACUUCUCAUGUUCCCCGGUGUGAGCCAGUUGUUACGAAUUGCGCAAGGUCUAAUAACGAUGUAGCUUUUAACUUUGAGCCCGUGUCCGAAAGUUUUGUAAGCUAUGAAAUUUCGAAAAUGAACUCGAGAAAGGUUAAGUUAAAGUUAGGUUUUCGCCUUCUAAAAUUUCCAUGUCCGAUUGAUACUAAAUCCUUGACGCACAUCGUUAAUUUGUCCCUUUCUAAAGGCAUCGUUCUUCAAUCGUGGAAGAGUGCAAAGGUCAUGCCUCUUUAUAAAUCUGGUGAUGCAUCUUGCCUUAAUAAUUACCAACCCAUUUCAGUGCUGCCUGUGUUAAGCAAACUAUUGGAACGAGCCGUGCAUAAUAAACCUUUUCAGUUUAUUUCGGAAAACGAUCUCUUGCACCCUAACCAGUCUGGCCUUAGGCCUCUGCAUUCGACCACAACUGUUCUUGUGAAACUGGUAAAUUGUUGGUCAAAGAAUCUUGACGAGGGUAAAUUGACUGGCGUAGCAUUAACUGAUUUAAGAAAAGCUUUCGAUACUAAUAACCAUGUACUACUCGUAAAGUUAGGAAAACUGGGUUGUUCGAACCUGACGUUUAAAUGGUUUAAAUCGUACUUCGAUAAACUUACGCAGAGAGUUUUCUUUAAGGGCACUACCUCAUGAACACUGGACUUGAAAAUGGGUGUUCCACAAUGAUCCAUUUUGCCUAACUCAGUUACAGAUUGAACCAUCGAUAUGUUUGCUGACGAUACUACGCCUACAGUAAGUGGAAGGCAUGUGGACGAGUUCAAACAAAAACUGAGUAAUGGGGUAUGUCACGUGAUGAAUUGGAUUGAUGCUAAUAAAAUGGUACUAACUGUAGAUAAAAAUAACGGUAAUGCUAAUUGGAUCUCGGCGUAAAAUAAAUAAUAUUGAGAAUUGAUGUUAUGGUUAAUGGUAACGUCUUCAAACGGGUCAAGGCUACGAAGUGUCUUGGUGUUUUAAUUGACGAAGAGCUGAAUUAGAUACAACAAGUUGAUAAGUUGCUAAAACUGCCCUACCUAAAGUUAGGCAUGCUUCGACGUGUUAAGCCAUAUUCCCAAAGAACACCUAAAUUUACUUCAAAAAUCCUUCGUUCACCUCAUCUAGAUUAUUGCUCCCAAAUUUGGUCCGGCAGAUUCCAAAUGCACACCGCUAAACCUGAAAAGCAACAAAAACGGGCUGAAAGGAUUAUAUUGAAUAAGGGUUAUUAUACACCAUCUGUUGAACUGUUCCAAGCGCUGAAAUGAAUGCCUUUGAACAAACGAUUGAUUUUUAAUCGUGCAGGGCUCAUUUUUAAAUGUCUGAAUAACUUGGCACCAGGAUACAUGGCAGAUGAAUUUACCCAGACUAUUCAGACUCAUGGUUACAAUACCAGACAUGCCCAGAACUCACUUAUCAUGCAAAAACUAAGAACUGAAUGCUUGCAUAACUCCCCAUUUGUCACUGUUAUUUCUGUCUGGAAUAACCUUGACCAAUUUGUAAAAUCAGAAGAAACUUUAACGAGUUUCAAGGCUGCACUAAAUGCAUUCCUCUUUUAGUUUUAUGUCUGAGUUUUCUUUUUACUUUUAGGUAUGUAAUUUUCAGUACUUUUCAAGGUGUGUAUUGUUUUCUUGUAUUCAAUCUUUCACUUUUAACGGUUAAUGUUUGUUUCAAUCUCUUAUUAUUUUACAUGAUUUUAGACCAGUUUUCGUGUCUUCUUUUUGAACCAGUUUGGGUUUUUAGUUAAAUUGUAAUUUAUUAAGUGUGAUUUUUUUUGGGGGGGUGGGUUUGUUUUGUUUAUGGUUUUUUAUUUUUCUGUUAAUCUUUAUUUAUGUAUAUAUAAUUUUAACAUAACCAAAGUCAGGGCCUUGUGGAAGACCUACCAUAUGGGGAAUACGUUAUACCCUGGAUAAAUAUUAGAAAUAAAUUAUACAAUGUACGCGUCCUGUGACGUACGCAGGAUGGGCGGAGCUCAUAGACCCUUCCACUCAUAAACUCUAUUUACGUGCGCAUGCGCAUAAAUGGCAUGUGGAGGCAAAAAGCUAGGGUGGGUCAUUGAAAAUGUACAGGGGCACAAAUUUCAAAUUCACUUUCUCUCAGCUUCUGCACUUUUUUUCACAUAAUUAGAAUUUACGAGUGGAAGUGUCUAUUUCUGUGCGUGAUAAAUGCGAGUGUGUUAAGUUCUUGCAAGUGGCAGUGAAGCUGUUAAGACGGAAGUUAUUGGUGCUCUUGCGUUUUGCAUCCAGCUAUAUUAUGCCAGGCAAGGGCGGUAUGUCUGCGUCUGGCAGAACACAGGUUGGGCAGUCCAGCCGUUCACUUGCAGGUGCAUUGUAGUAAAUUUGGGCUGGGGCCGCGGUGCUUUGUGCAUGCGGACCGUGUCACUACAGGAAUACUGGGCUAUGCAGUUCGAUGUUAUGUUUAGUCAGUGCAACAUUGUGCAGUGCGACUGGGGUCCAGCGUAAGUCUCAUGUUAUUAUAUGGCAACACUGGAAAAGCGUUGCUCACAGCGUUCAUGUAACGUGGCAUUGGCUUGCGCACUGCAAGGCGACAUUGGUCAGUGCGUUCAAGUUGCUGAUAGAGUGAAGCAAUGCAGCGUAAGCUGUAUAUUGCUAAUAGUCUCAUCUCAAGACUACACUAAAUAAUAGAGGUUGUAAUAAAGUUUUUCAAAAUACAGAUUAUCCCUAUUCAUUUAAUCAAUUAGUUACUUAUUGAAAAUCCCAUUUUUUGUUUGAGAUUUAUAUCGGCAAUCUAUAUUUUCAGGUGUCCUCCUUAAUGUGUAUUGUCUGAUUGGCAGAGAGCAUCACAGUCAUAAUCGGCGGUAUACUUCAGUGGGGAAUUAAUUCCGCGCCUCAGUUUGCUGACAACAAAUUAAAAGACAUUUUCUUGCUGCUUAUUUGCUUUCCUUUAGGAUACUCGCGAUAUUUGUAUUAAAC